UACGAAGGGUGCAAGCGUUACUCGGAAUUACUGGGCGUAAAGCGUGCGUAGGUGGUUCGUUAAGUCUGUCGUGAAAUCCCCGGGCUCAACCUGGGAAUGGCGAUGGAUACUGGCGAGCUAGAGUGUGUCAGAGGAUGGUGGAAUUCCCGGUGUAGCGGUGAAAUGCGUAGAGAUCGGGAGGAACAUCUGUGGCGAAGGCGGCCAUCUGGACCAGCACUGACACUGAGGCACGAAAGCGUGGGGAGCAAACAGG
rnacentral:rRNA from 1 species